CUGAAGGCAAGAGGAAGUGGUGAUGUGGGUAAGCAGAAAGCGACACUAUCAGAUUUAUGUUUAUCAGAAACAUUCCCCGAUUAGGGACACAGUGGAGAGUGACUCAAGGGUUUCAAGAAGGACCCAGGGAGACUGUUAGAAAAUUAGCCUGAGUCCAGAGGGGAAAUGAUUUAGACCUGGGGAACACCAUGGUUCUGGGAUGAAGACACUUGUGUCUUGUCCUUUGGGGAGAUAUUUAAGAGGUGAGAUAAUCAGACUCGGAAGCACCACGAGCAGUCAUGGCAGUUGCUGUCCCUAUCAAGGUUGUGUUCUUUAGCUCAUCAGCGCUGGUGUGCCCAGUUCCACCCCAGGUGCUGUACAUGCUGACUGAGGCAUCCACUGUUACUGUCCUUCCCCUUCUUCAGGUGGGGAGGCCUCAGCCCGGAAAGGCCCAGAAACUUCCCUGCAGCCCAGCCGGUUAGAGGCAGAGCUUGGCCUGGGCCCAAGCACAACACGUAGGUCUGGGAAGGAUGUGUCUCCUCUGAACUGGGUGAGGUGGGGCAGGGAGGGGAGAGACGACAGGACGUGGAGGGAGACAGGCAGGAGGUGGAGAGGGGGAGAUGAUGAGAGAGGGCCAGGAAGUGCUGAGAAGAUACACAGGAAGUGGAGGGAGACAGGCAGGGGGUGGAGACGGGGAGAUGAUGAGAGAGGGGCAGGAAGUGCUGAGAGUGAUAGGACGUGGAGGGAGACAGGCACGUCGUGGAGACGGGCAGAUGAUGAGAGAUGGACAGGAAGUGCUGAGAGUGAUAGGACGUGGAGGGAGACAGGCACGUCGUGGAGACGGGCAGAUGAUGAGAGAUGGACAGGAAGUGCUGAGAGUGAUAGGACGUGGAGGGAGACAGGCAGGAGGGGGAGACGGGGAGAUGAUGAGAGAGGGGCAGGAAGUGCUGAGAGUGAUAGGACGUGGAGGGAGACAGGCACGUCGUGGAGACGGGCAGAUGAUGAGAGAUGGACAGGAAGUGCUGAGAGUGAUAGGACGUGGAGGGAGACAGGCACGUCGUGGAGACGGGCAGAUGAUGAGAGAUGGACAGGAAGUGCUGAGAGUGAUAGCCAGGAAGUGGAGGGAGACAGGCAGGGGGUGGAGACGGGGAGAUGAUGAGAGAGGGGCAGGAAGUGCUGAGAGUGAUAGACAGGAUGUGGAGGGAGACAGGCAGGAAGUGGGGGGGGAAGUGAUGAGAGAGACGGAAGUGCCGGGAGUGACAGGAAGUGGUAAGAUAUAGAAAAAGGUGGGAGACAGACCGGGCGUGGUGGUGGUGGGGAGAUGAUGAGAGAUACACAGGAAGUGGAGGGAGACAGGACGUGGUGGGGGGAAGAGGCGAUGAGAGAUAGGAGGUGCUGAGAGUGGUAGGAAGUGGUGAGAGACAGGCAGGAAGUGGUGGGGAAAGGAGGUGAUGAGAGUGAUAAGGAAUGGUGAGAGAAAGGAAGUGGAGAGAGAGAGGAAGUAAUGAGACAGGAAGUGGUGAGCAGUAGAAAGAUCCACCUGGGAUCCUUGUGUGGACACAGGAGCCACUGACCAAAAACAGGGACACCAUCACCUCUCAGAGGCUUUUCAUUUUCCUGCUGUCUUCUACCCUCACACCCACAGGCCGUUCUGUAUGAAGCAGCUGCGCACACACACACACACACACACACACACGAAGCCCUGUUCAGCACGCUCCAUUGCCUUCUGCUCCUUCACAACCUGUGCUCUCACCACCUCCUCCACCACCUCUCUGUAGGGUGGGUCACCUGCUACUUUCCUGACAACAAGCCCCCCCACACACAAGCAUUUCUUCUCUUCCCCCCCCGUCACUAUUUGUCCCCUGAGCUUUACUUCUUACAUUUGUCUAUAAAUAUGUGUAUUCCCUAACUGGCUGUUCCAGCUCUAUGCAAGCAGGGACUGUUGCUCUCCCCACAUCCACAACAAUGCCUAGCACGUAGUAAGUGCUCGACGAAUAUCUACCGAAUGAAGAAAUAGAAAGACUAGGUUUUCCAGAGAAACUUCGUAUGAGGCAAAACCUCACCAACCCUCGGGCUCAGGUGUACCUGGUCUAUUCCACUUCCUGGGAGACCGUAGAACUGGAAGAGCCAAAAAAAAAAAACACCCAGACAGAGGGAAGCAACCUUCUUACCUGUCAAAUAAUCUCAACGUGCAUAAACAUUUCAUCAAAAUAAAUAUUUCCUUACUCCCCACUGGGCAGGCAGCUUGCUAAUAGGCAUGCUAACCAGUUAUUUUCCAAAUGAAGACAGUUAGGGAGCCUAGGGAUUUGCAUUGUAAGAGAAGGUCGAGGCGGGGCCUGCAUCAAAUACGUUUUAGAAGCAGGGAACACUUCAAAGGGAAACAUAAGCCUGUGUGGAGAACACUGAUCACACAGCCCAUUGGGACUAGAAUGCUGGGAAGAGGGGCAGCCAGGGAGGGGCUGGCAGGAGAGGGGAGCAGGGCGAGCAGGAUGGAAUCCAGGCCUGCCCCCUGAAUUCUGCCCAGGGGGCCUAAAAGCAGAGAGGGCAAAGGGCUCCUUCUUCUUCUUCUCCUUCUUCUUCCUCCUCUUCUUCUUUUUUGUCUUUUUAGGCUCUCACCCAUGGCAUAUGGAAGUUCCCAAGCUAGGGGUCGAAUCAGAGCUAUAGCUGCAGGUCUACACCUCAGCCACAGCAACUCAGGAUCCAAGCUGCGUCUGCAGCCUACACAACAGCUCCCGGCAAUGCCAGAUCCUUAACUCACUGAGCAAGGUCAGGGAUCGAACCUGUGUCCUCAUGGAUACUAGUUGGGUUCAUUACCACUGAGCCAUGAUGGGAACUCCUUUUUGAAAGAUUUGUGUUCACACAAUAUUCCCAGAGAUGUGACUUUGGACCUCGUUACAGGAGGUGCCUCAGCUCUGAACGUGGAGAAUAAUCCUUCUGGGUCUAGCAGGAUCCUUGGCAUCAUGGGACAUGGCCCUGUGUGGCCCUGAGAGCAGCCCAGUUCGUUCGAGUGACCCUGUGGCCUCAUGGGCUGCACAUCAGACACCACUGGAAGGAGAUGAAACUCCCGAGGGGAGCCAUCAUUCCCGGGGGAUCAUGGACAGGCCGCAACAGCAACCAAAACACUCGUGGGAAGGGCCAGGGGGUCGUGUCUGGGUUCCCGGGUGGAUGUGGGUCCAGAGCACUGUGGUCAAGGCGGGGACAGUGGAAUCAGGCCCUGGCACAGCCACUGAGCUGUGUGAACCCUGCCUGUGCCACAGGGUGAUGGCGACCUUAGAUGAGCCACACCUUGUAGAGUGCCCGGAACAGUGCACACGCUGAGCAACAAAACCUCAGAAAACAAUGUGGAAGACCCGUGAGGCCCAAGGUGGGGGACACAGGCAGGUUAGGUGAAGGUCUAAUAUCAAGAAAAGGCUGUUGUUAGAGAGCCUACCUGUAUGUCAGUAAACACAGCUGAAGCGAAGAGAGAGAGAGAGAAAGAGUUCCCCCCUGGCUCAGCGGGUAGACAAUCCAGCGUUGUCCCUUCUGUAGCUCUGGUUACAGCUGUACUGUGGAUUGGAUCCCUGGCCCAGAAACUUCCCCAUGGCCACCGGCACAGCCCAGCAAAACAAAACGCACACACAAAACUUACAAUUGAUAACAAAAAAGACAAUCAAGCCAAUAGGAAAAUGGGCUCGGGAGUUGAAUUGAACAGUUACAGAAGAACAGAAGGCGGCCAGCUAACCCGAGAGUUUGCUCGACCACCGUAAUAGACAACAGAAUGCAAGGUUCAAUAUCAACUAGACAUUGCUUCUCAGCACCAAAUCUAAAGAAAUGAAAAGAAGGGGAAAUUCUAACAUGGGCAGGAUGCAAGGAGAAAGGCACUUUCAGACAUGGCUGGUGGAAGUGUGAUGUUUUGUAGCUUUUUUUUUUUUUUUUUUUUUUUUUUAAUUUGUAACAGAUUCUGGCACUAUAUGUUUAAAAAAAAACAAAACGGAAAAAUACACUUACCCUUCACCUUAGCAAUCUACUCUUGGGAAUCUAUCCCAUGGAGGUAAAAAAAAUAACCAGUCCUUAAAGCUAUUUGUACAAUGCCAUCCACGGCAGCAUUGUUUGCUGAGCCGAAAGAAAGAUAAAAGAACAAGAGAAAGAAAAAAAAAGAAAAAAGAAAAAGGAAGAAAAUCACCUGGAUACCCAUCAAUGAGAGAUAUUAAAUACAUUUUGGGACAUGAAACUAUUGCAGCAUUAAGGUUCAAAAAAAAUCAGUGAUGGGAGGACAUUUCCACGGCAUCUAAUUAAAUGAGAAAAGCAAGAUGCAGAGGACCGCAUAGUAUAUCCCAUUCUGUAAAGCAAACAAUAACAGAAACCCUCUGUGUGUGUGUGUAUGUGUGUGCGUGUGCACGUGCGCUUUGCAAAUAU
rnacentral:lncRNA from 1 species